rnacentral:rRNA from 1 species
UACGUAGGGUGCGAGCGUUGUCCGGAAUUAUUGGGCGUAAAGAGCGUGUAGGCGGCCAUGCAGGUCCGUUGUGAAAACUGGAGGCUUAACCUCCAGACGUCGAUGGAAACCAUCUGGCUAGAGUCCGGAAGAGGAGAGUGGAAUUCCUGGUGUAGCGGUGAAAUGCGCAGAUAUCAGGAAGAACACCCGUGGCGAAGGCGGCUCUCUGGGACGGUACUGACGCUGAGACGCGAAAGCGUGGGGAGCGAACAGG